rnacentral:rRNA from 1 species
ACAUACGACCAUACCCACUCGAAAACUCGGGAUCCCGUCCGCUCUCCCAUAGAUAAGCCAGUGAGGGCCGGAUUAGUAGUUGGGUCGGUGACGACCAGCGAAUACCUGGUGUUGUAUGUU